UACGGAGGGGGCUAGCGUUGUCCGAAGUUACUGGGCGUAAAGCGCGCGUAGGCGGGUUGGUAAGUCCGCUGUGAAAGCCCGGAGCUUAACUCCGGAGGGUCGGUGGAUACUGCCAGUCUUGAAGGUGCUAGGGGGAGAUGGAAUUACCGGUGUAGCGGUGAAAUGCGUAGAUAUCGGUAGGAACACCAGUGGCGAAGGCGGUUGCCUGGGGCUUUGCUGACGCUGAUGCGCGAAAGCGUGGGGAGCGAUCCGG
rnacentral:rRNA from 1 species